AACGAACGCUGGCGGCGUGCUUAACACAUGCAAGUCGAACGAGAAAAUCCUGGCUUGCCAGGAUGAGUAAAGUGGCGCACGGGUGAGUAACACGUGAGUAAUCUGCCCCUAAGUCAGGAAUAACAUUGCGAAAGCGAUGCUAAUACCUGGUAAGCCCACGACUUCUUCGGUAGAUGUGGGAAAAGGUGGCCUCUGACAUAAGCUAUCACUUAGGGAUGAGCUCGCGGACCAUUAGCUUGUUGGUAGGGUAAUGGCCUACCAAGGCGAUGAUGGUUAGCUGGCCUGAGAGGGUGGCCAGCCACACUGGAACUGAGACACGGUCCAGACUCCUACGGGAGGCAGCAGUGGGGAAUCUUGCGCAAUGGGGGAAACCCUGACGCAGCAACGCCGCGUGAGUGACGAAGGCCUUCGGGUCGUAAAGCUCUGUCAGAUGGAAAGAAUUAAUUCGCUGAAAAUAUUGGCGAGUGAUGACGGUACCAUCAAAGGAAGCACCGGCUAACUCCGUGCCAGCAGCCGCCGUAACAC
rnacentral:rRNA from 1 species